rnacentral:rRNA from 1 species
CCCGGCGACCGGCGCACGGGUGAGUAACACGUAUGCAACCUGGCCGCCACAGGGGGAUAACCCGCGGAAACGCGGCCUAAUACCCCGUGACGCCACCGGAGGGCAUCCUCCGGUGGCCAAAGGAGCGAUCCGGUGGCGGAUGGGCAUGCGGCGCAUUAGCUAGACGGCGGGGUGACGGCCCACCGUGGCGACGAUGCGUAGGGGUUCUGAGAGGAAGGUCCCCCCACACUGGGACUGAGACACGGACCAGACUCCUACGGGAGGCAGCAG